rnacentral:rRNA from 1 species
AUUGAACGCUGGCGGCAUGCCUAACACAUGCAAGUCGAACGGUAACAGGAAGCACCUUCCUGCUUCGCUUUCGCGGCGCGGACGUGAGAGUCAUGUCGAUGACGCUGCUUGAUGGAGGGGGAUACCUACUGGAAACGGUACCUAAUCCCGCAUAAUGUCUCAAGACCAUAGAGGGAGACCUUCGGGCCUCUUUCCAGCGGAUGUUCCCAGAUGGCAUUAGCUAGUUGGUGGGGUAACGGCUCACCAAGGCGACGAUCCGUAGCUGGUCUGAGAGGGUGACCAGCCACACUGGAACUGAGACACGGUCCAGACUCCUACGGGAGGCAGCAGUAGGGAAUAUUGCGCAAUGGGCGCAAGCCUGACGGAGCAACGCCGCGUGUGUGAAGAAGGUCUUCGGAUUGUAAAACACUGUCAGCGGGGAAGAAGAGAGUAGUGUUAAAACCUGCGCGCCUUGACGUUACCUGAAGAGGAAGCCACGGCUAACUACGUG